GGUAUUAUAGAAAAUAAAAAAUGCAGUGAUAAGAGAAAUGCAGCCACAUAGCCAAAUGCCUGCCUCCAGCUCCUCCCAUCCUAUAAGCAUCAUACAAAGCAACAGUCGAUAUUCAGGACUAGGACAGACAGCAUAACUUUUCAGACGCAAAUGGAGCAAAACAGAAGCAGAGGCCUGAGUCACUGACGUAUUCCCACUAGUCACCUUGCACUGUUUUAUUGAGAAGUGUUACCUUACCGGGGGAGAUGUCCUUGAGGAGAAAAGUUGCAUUGUCCCUGGUGAGUGGAGGCUGGAAGAGAUUAUGGGCAACUGGGAAUCUUCCAACAAAAUGCCUCUACGUCAGAAAAGGUGAGGAACUGCAGUGUAUGAAGUUCUACAAACUGAAAAAGUGAGCAAGAACCACUAAGGAAAUCAAAUGCGUUCAACGAAAAAUGUUCAUUUAUUGUUCAUUAACAGAGGUAAAACUCAUUGCUACAUGAGCUGGUCCAACUUGGAACAAAGCUGUCUAUCAUAUAUCCUUCUUUGAUUCUCUUGGAAGUUGAUUUUUGUUAGUGUGUUGUCUCAGUACCUUAGUCCAAGUGAAAUGCCACAGGAUAGAGAUAAAAUCCAAUUACUUGUUUGGCUGAAAAUAAUUUCUGUUAAAGUUGGAACAAAAAGCAUAAGAAAUACCACAUCAUCUUUAAUAAAUCUUAGAAUAUUACAAAGAAUCUUGGAAU